UUUUUUUUUUUUUUUGCUGUGAGCAAGAUGUGUAAAUCAUUGAGGCAAUAUUGGAAGAAAAACACCUUACGAAAAUUUGAUUACUGAUUGAAUGCGGUGUCAUGAAUGUGAUGUAAACAUAUGAGGACAUAGGUUGAGGCACAACUGGGAUUGAUUUGUUAUAAGAUAUUAUUUUGUGCAGGAACAAUUAUUAGUGAAAUUUAGGAUCAAACUGUGAGAUAGUGAUUAUGAGAAACAGAAAAAUAAAAUAAUCAAAGCUGCACAUGUCCAGUGUUGUCCAGUCAUUGGGUAUCUUAUUGUGGCAUUUUAAUAGAGUUGUUUGUGUGGUAUUAUGUGCAAAAUGAAUCACAUCCGAGUUGUUAUGCUGGUGUAGGAACAUACAUUGCAUAAACAUUGCCUAGGGAACAUUAGAUUUAGAUCGAAACCAUGUUAUAAUAUUUUCAUGGUCAUAAUGUGGGAUGAUUAAGGGCUUUAUUCAGGGUUUCAGUCUAAUAUUGUCUUCCUAAAUGUAUGUGAAUGUAUAAAGGCCUUUUAGUUUAAAUUUUUAAUACCCUUGGCAUGUCUUACGUACUGUUUUGUUUCAAACACUCAUAGGUUUCAGGGGUAUAAAUUUUCAGUUCAAAAAGAUUGACGUAAGAUCUGUAUUGCUGUGGCUUUUGAACUUGCUGUGAAUGUUACUUUUUGUUUCCCUUCCUGGAUAGAUUUGUUCAGUUUAUUUUAUUUGCUAAUAUACUUCCAUAAAAUUUUUGUACAUCAUAUCCACUCAUGCUUUGUCUGUCAUUUUUGUACGAAACAUUUACGCAGUUAAGAUCUUCUGAUGCUAUUCUUCAUUUUGAAAAAUGUAAAAAAUUCUUCAUCGUACUGAGAUACAUGAUAGAGGUUAUGUUUUUUUGCCAGAGUUUAUUUUACCUUGAUUGCGAUCCCUUUUCCUCAUAAAAAAGGUAUUGCGUUGUUGUAUUCGUGAAUAAUCAAGUUAUUUUAUUAUGCUUCAUUAUUGGUGCGAUUAUAUGUUAUUUAUAUUGAGUUCAUGUUCAGUUUUGCUCAUAUUAGUAAUCAUUAACAGAUUAUAUUCUUGAAUCCUGAUUAAAAGUGACGUUGAGGAGUUUAUUAAGUCCUUUUUUUUUGCUCUAUUGUAAGGGGUGUUAGAAAGUCUUUAACGGUUCCAUUUCAUGGUACCUUUGGAAGAACAACUUUGUCAAAGUUUGUAUAUUUCAGAUCUCGACUUCGCUUUUCUGGAGAUGAAUCCUUUUGCAUUGGUUGAUGGAAAGCCAUAUCCUUUGGAUAUGAGAGGCGAGCUCCAUUACCCUGCUGCUUUCAAGAACUUAAAAAGUACAUUCAAUUUCUUGUGUUAUUACCCUCUCUGCUCAGUUAUUUGACGAAAGCUAUAUGAUACUAUCUAAUGUUUCUUCUGUUUAAGUGUACCAUUUGGCAACACCACCUUACAUGAUAUAAUUGUUUCAGGUGGGCUAAUAUUGAAUUUUCAAUGCCGUUUGGAAGAGUUAUGAGUCCUACAUAAAAAAUUAUUCAUGGGCUAGAUGAUAGGUACAAACAAUGUUUUACCUCAUCAGUGAUAGUUUUCAUGCGGGAUUUUAGUUGUAUGCAAUUUUAAUUUCUUUUAUUGUUCAUAAGGAAAUACCUCGCAUUUAUUAGAUGAUAACCAUUUAGUAUCCCACUUUAAUCAGGUUGAUUUGUCAAUUGCUUGCAGACAUGGGCAUCUUUGAAAUUUACAGUCGUGUACCCUAAGGGAAGAAUCUGGACUAUAGUUGCUGGAGUGCAAGAGUUAUAUACGGUGUGUUCAAUUAAGAUUCAGAAAUUUAACUGGAUUUGAACCUGUUACUUAUGAACCUUUGGUUUUCCUUGGCAUUCAUUGCUCACACUCAAAGUAUAUUCCUUUAUCAGGUUGGAGAUCUUGGCUCUGCUAAUGAGCUUGAAAACUGCACUGAAUAUAGUGGAGCACUAAAUGAGAAGGAGGUCUUGCAGUAGGCCAGAGUUGUGAUUGAUGUAAGAACUCUUUCACUCUUAGCAUUAUAUCACUUUAUCCACAGUAGAUGAAAUGCUACUUUCAUAUUUGCCACAUCUCUGUUUUCCAUCAAAAACUUUUCACAAGCUUCAUGGCUUCUCUUUAAUACAUUUGGAAUGAAUUUGUUCAUAGUUUUCUGCCCUGAAGCUUAUUGAACAUGAAGAUAGAUUGUGGGUCUGUGGUGGUUUUUGUUAUUUGGGUUGCUGCCUUUUGCAUUUCUGGUAAGGGUUACUAUUUUUUCCAUUAAAUUGAUGAUUUUAUAUCAAUAUCUGUUCUGUAAUUUUUUUUUUCUGCAUCUUUUGUGUUGUUGCUGACUAAUCUACUCUUUCUUAGUGUGACUUAUUAAUGGAUGACUAUUUUGUCUACACAUCUUCAGGUUGAUGUUCUUGGAGAAGGUCUUUUAAGCAGGUAUCCUCAAGUUCAAAGGACUUUCAUGCAUGAUGUUUUAUCCUCUCAGUCAUUUUCCUUUAUUGAUUGUAAUCUAGGUAAUCAAAGAAACUGGGUUUUUGUUUUCGGAUCCUGUUGAUUUACUGUUAAGUAUGUUUUAGAAUGCUUCUACUUGCUUUCAAAUCUUUGAAGAGUAAUGGGUUUCAGCUGGAAAUGGAGGAGAGAAGAAGUACAGACGUUGUCAUUGUUGUUUCCGGGGUUUCCGGUGCAGCUGUUGCCUACACUCUUGCAAAGGUCAGAUAAUGAUUUCAAUAUUUUUUUAAUUUGAUUGGGAAUAUAUGUUUACUGAGAAUGCUGAAUUGAGCAUGUGAUAUAAUUUUAUUGUUUGAUCAUUGGAGAAUAUAGUUAGUGUUGUUGUUAGAUCAUUGAAUGAAAGUUACCUUCUUUUUUAUUGUUGAGUUCCAUACUUUACCAUCAAUAAACAUAACUUAGAAUUUUUCAUCUUUUGUUAAGACUGGAAUCCGAUUGUAAAUAAUACUUAUGAAGGCCUAGGGAAGAGAAUUUACAUAUGCGUUGCCUAAAGUGGCACGUUGAGGUUUCAGGUUUGCUAUUAUGCCUAAAGUAUGAGAUUAAUUUUUAAUGUGGAUUUGACUGAACCAUAUUACUGCUUUGUAGGAAGGACGCCGUGUACAUUAGAGUUAUCUCAAAUGAGACUUGACUGACUGAGCUCGACUGAUCAUUGAAGGACGCCGUGUACAUUACGCCGUGUACAUGUCAUCAAAAGAGACUUGACAGAGCUGGAUAGUAUUGGUGAGCUUCUGCACCUGGGGGUUAUCUCAAAUUAAUUGAGUUUUGUCUUGAGGGUGAGCAAUUUCCUACCCAAUUUAGAAUUCCAUUGUUGUUCUUGCAGUAGUUUGAUAUAGUUUGUAUUUUUAUUAAAUAUCGAGUCAUAAGAUAUUGAAUUAUAAUUAACAAAAUCUAUUUGUGGCUGCAGACUGUUCAAAUAUUUGUGGUUGCAGACAGCAACUAUUUGUGGCUACAGGCUGUGCAAAUCAGUCCAUUGAUGCUCAGAAGGUGUUUGGGAGGGGUUUCCAAACGGUGGUUUCAUUCAGAGUAAAAGCUGUAAAUUUCAAAGUAAUUCUCUUUUCUCUUUACGUAUUGUAUGUGAUUACUUGGUGUAAUCUGUUUCAAGCUACUCCAUGAUGUGCCAUGGAAUUCCAUUACAGUGUGAAAUUGGAACAAGGAUCAGUAACAGCAGUAAUCGGCAAAUAGGCACUGUCAGGGGUGAUUUAUGAGAACAAUAACCCUAAGCUUAUGGCUGCAUUCAUUUUGCUGUAUAGAAAACAAUAACCAAUUAACCAUAGUUGACAUUGAUUUUAAGAUAUUAUAUCCCUUUUUGUAAUGUGAUGAAUGUGAGGUUUUUGUAGCAGAACAAUGAACACAGAACAAUCAAAAGGUUUUUUUGUACAAUUGAGCAUUUGAACAUCUGCUUGAUCCCUUGCAAAAUAGCAUCACAAAAAUAGACUUACAUAGUGUUCACGCUUUGGUAACAAGUGAAGUCCUGAACUCCUGAUGCGAUAAAGAAGUAUCAAGCUGUAUUGCAUGAGUCGCUGAGUUGAUGGAUUUUUUUUCUGAAUCUAACAUUUUCAUCUUCUUCUCUAUCUCACUAUAAUAUAUAUAAUGUGUAUUUAUUAUUGUAACCAGUGUCAUUGUGUAAUAUCCAUAUGUUAUAUUAUUGUGUUUAUCAAUUUGUCGAACAACAACAUUGAUUCAAACAAAAGCAAUUGCGGUAGUCCGCAGCAACGCGCAGCCAUCAUCUAGUGAAAUACCAAAUGAAAUGACUAGAUGCAGUACAAUAUUUGAAAUGAAUUUGGAAUGCAAGCUGUCCAUGCAGUACGAUACAGAACUAAUAAUAACAAAUGGAAUUGCAUUCUAUACAAAUUAAUUAAUAUCAUAUUUUUGUGGAGUAAAAGGAUGUGAUCAACAGUUUUGAGCAUUAGGAGACCUGUAGAUGGAAGAAAUAAAACGUUAGAUGUGGAAAACAGAGGAAAGUUUGACAAGCUUCAACAUGUUCCCUCGCUUUUCUACACGUAUUUGAUAACAUUAUCAUCAGUGCGGAUGUUGUCUCAAAUUACAAGUGCGUACCUGGAAACCACUCGAUCGAGGAGUGUUGGUUUUCUCUUAUAUGACUUCGUCAUUAAUUUCUACGCGAGGGAUGUGUGCUAUCUUGUGCCGGUAUCGUCCUUUGUAUCUCUGUUCGAGUAGAGGACAGCUGCGAAUAUAAAGUUGUGAAAGAGGCAGGCCUUCCUCCACUGGAAGGGUUGUAAGCUUCGGACAGUUCCAGAUCUGAAUCCAUUCAAGAGAGGUGAGGAAUUGAAAGCCCUUGCUCAGUUUCUUUAGAUUUGGGAAGAAUCCAAUACUCAAAUUAACAAGAGAUCUGGGGAGCAGUAUCGCCGUCUCCUUUGAAUUCUCAGCAGCAGGUGGAAAUGACACCAGACUUCCAUCAUCUUCACCGAAUAGACUCAAUUCUCUCAAACAGGCGAGUCUCUGCAACCCUUGAGAUUCCAUCAGCGCCUUACAGUUCUUGAUCUUCCAGAUUGACAGUGAUGUUAGGUUGGUGGGGAAGGAAGUUGUAGUUGUCAAACCUUCAAAGUAAUCAAUACUCACAACUUCAAGAUUACUGGUGUGCAUCAUGUCUCUCGCCAACUGUGCCACCUCCAAUUUAUCGCAAUUUACGAUCCGUAUCUCUCUUGGCCACACAUUCAUUCUCGGCAAUGAAACAAGACUUUGACAAUCCCAAAUAGUUAAUCUCUGAAGAUUGGUGAGGUGGCACAGUCCAUCGGGUAAGGAUUUCAGGUUUGGGCAGUCCCAGAUGUAAAUUAACUCGAGUUGGCAGCUGUCAUCGAGGAACCUCUCAGUUAUUAGCUCCAGCUGUCCACAACUCACUAUCCAAAGCUGUUUAAGAGACCUGGGUAAUUGACCUUUGCAUAAUAAGCCCAUCAAAGAGGGACAAUUCCCUAUAGUCAAACGCUCAAGACAAGAAGAAGAAGAAGAAGAACCGUUACCCACCUCCUCCUCUUUCUCUAUUAAUGACUUCAAUUUCCCACAAUUCUUAAUCUCUAUUCUUUUUAGGCUGAGAUGAAUCUGGUAUUUUGCGAAGUGUGAAAGAGAUUCGCAGUCCUUAAUCACUAUGACUUGAAGACAAAGUGGCAGACCAACAUCCGGAAAAGAAACAAGACUUGAACAUUCACUUAUGUGCAGCUCUUGAAGUGAUCUAAGGUGAUGAUAUCCUUCAGGCACCAUUCCACACUUGCUUAAUUCCAGACGUUCAAUAUUGCAAUCCAGGAUUUGCAAUUGCACCAACUGCUCUGCUUCUUUCCCCAGCUUUUCAACAAGGAUCGAGUUGUCUUCGAUGUACAGACGACCAAGAGAAAUCAAGUGUUGCAGUAAUCUAUCCUCAUUUUGAAAGCAACAUGUAAGCUCCUCACAACCAGUGAUCUUCAACUCUUUAACAUUUUUCAAGCUUUUCAUGAACGCCUCUGUUUGGAAUCUCAAUUCUGAUACAUUUGAAAAUGUCAAACUCUCUAGUAAGUCAAACUGAACUGUACUUGUGUCGUACACCACCCUCUUGCAAUUUUUGAUGUAUGAUCCAUGAAGCUGUUUAUAUUUGGAUACUGAAACCACCAAUUCCUCACAUCCAUAUAUCUCAAGCUGUGCUAAUGAAUCGAGCUUCUCUGGUAAAUCACCCUCCAAUUUGGGGCAGCCCCUGAUGGAAAGCUUUUUCAGGCAAGAUAAAGCUUCAACACCCUCACCUUGUUGGCAAGGAUACCACUUCUUCCAAUUUUUCAGAUUAUGUAACUCCAGGGUCUCUAAAACAUGAAACGACAAGUCACCUUCUCCAUAAAACUCAACACCAACACUCUCCACUGCAUCCAUUUCUUGUAUACAAAGUUCUUUGAGACAAGGUAACUGUCCGAAUGGUGGCCAGAAUUGACAAUGAUUACAACCUUCUAACUUUACCCGCACCAUUUUAGUGAAUGAAGGAUUCCCAAUCCAUGUUGAAAAUCUCAAUCCAGCAUAACCUUUGAUGGUGAGCUUUUUGAGCUUGCUAUGAGGUUGUAACAUGUCAAGCACAAUUGCUGCAUCUUCUGUUGAGACACUCGAAGAAGACCAUUCAAGAAAUAGGGCUUCAAGCCUUUCCUUGCUCUUUAAGUUGGCACUCCUGGCAUCCUCGACACAAAUCACAUUUUCUAGUCUUGAGAUGUGCAAUGUCCCUUGCAGAUGCAAUAAUGACUCAAUCUCUCUUACUCCUGAUCCACUACCUUUGCCAAUAACAAACUCAGGCAAUGUUUGGAGGUUAGUCAAUUGACCAAGCUCAGGAGGCAUUUCUUCCAAUGAAUUUGUACCUGAAUUGUUGAGAUGACGCAAAUUAACUAGGUUCCUCAUGCUUGUGGGCAGUGCCUUCAGCAUAGAACAACUUUUCAAUAACAAUGUCUGCAAGUUGUACAGAGUUGUUGUCGAGUCUGGCAAACUUCUUAUCCAAGUGUGGGAGAGAUCAAGAUACCGUAGAUGCUUCAGUUCACCAAUUGUAUUUGGCAACUCGCGUAUUUGGUAUCCAUUUAAAGAGAGCAAUCGUAAGUAUUGAAGUUUGGGCAAUAAGUCAGAAGAAACCUUAUGAGCCAAAUGGUUAUAAUUUGAAAGUGAAAGUGGUAAGAACGUCCGCAAACAUGUAGCUUCAGAAUAGACCUCAAACUUCUUAACCCCGUCACACCAACCAGGAAUGUAAGAUGAAUGACGAACCUUGGGCAAACAUCUAUGUUGCGAGUCAUAAUUCUGCAUAUCCUCCAAUCUAGAACAUGAGCUUCCUGCAGCCCAACGUGCCAAAUCAGUAACCAGGUCAUGCAUUAUGUAUUUCGACUCUGUUUUGCUUGAUUUUUGAAAUAAUGACCUGGACACCAACUCUUGAAAAUUGUCACGUCCCAAAUCUUCCAUUUGUUUGUUUUCUUCUGGUUGCUGCUGAAUCAAGCCCUCAGCCAUCCAAUAAAAGACCAAUUGCAUCUCCUCAAAUUCAUAAUCAUUCGGAAGUAUUGCACAGUAGGAGAAACACCGUUUCAAAGUCGAAGGGAGAUAAUGAUAGCUCAGUUUUAAUGCNNNNNNNNNNNNNNNNNNNNNNNNNNNNNNNNNNNNNNNNNNNNNNNNNNNNNNNNNNNNNNNNNNNNNNNNNNNNNNNNNNNNNNNNNNNNNNNNNNNNNNNNNNNNNNNNNNNNNNNNNNNNNNNNNNNNNNNNNNNNNNNNNNNNNNNNNNNNNNNNNNNNNNNNNNNNNNNNNNNNNNNNNNNNNNNNNNNNNNNNNNNNNNNNNNNNNNNNNNNNNNNNNNNNNNNNNNNNNNNNNNNNNNNNNNNNNNNNNNNNNNNNNNNNAUCUUCCAACAAUCAUCUCCUGACAUCGACUCCAAGUUAUGAGGUUUAUUGUCUCCCAUCAUCUUUGCAACAUUCGCAUCACGCGUCGUCACAAUGAUCUUGCUUCCUACUGCUCCAACACGAAAAGCCGACUGCAAUUUUGUCCAUUGAUCGUAGUUGCAUGUAUUCCAGACAUCAUCUAGAACAAUCAAAAACUUCUUGCCAGCCAAUUCCUCACUCAACUUUACCAAAACCGAAUUGAGCUCUUUAGAUUCCUUCACAGAACCUGAGGUGACAGAUUCAAGAACUGCAGUUGUCACCCUUAGAAGGUCGAAGUCAUCGGACACAGACACCCAUCCCUUUGGGCGAAAUUGUUCAGUUGCAGCAUCGUUGAAGACAUCUUUAGCAAGUGUUGUCUUUCCUAGUCCACCCGUACCAACAAUGGAAACCACACGAAAGUUAUGAAAAUUGCUGGUACUAUGUUCGCUUUCUAAGAGCACAUCAUUAAGAAUCUUAGUCUUUGCUUCAUCCCUUCCGAUCACAGGUCCAUCUAGCAGUUGAGAUGUAGUACUGGGUGGCAUUUUCCAUGGCUUUUUAGACACUCCAAGUUCCUUCAAACCAAAAUGCUUCUGUCGAGUGGUUAUCUGCUCAAGUCGAUCACUUAACUUCUUGAUUGCUGAGUUCAGACCAAAAUUGGACUUAACUUUAGAGAGUGAGCUCCAUAUCUUGCUUUUGCUUCCUUGUUGUCUUUCUAUCUUCCGCUUCAGCAUUUUAGUAUCAAAUAUGUCCAAUACAUCUUGAACAUCGUAAGCCAAAUCUCUGAGAUCAUCCAGCCACUCUUUUACUGCUCCUUGUGUUAGUUGCUUCUCCUCAGCAUCACUCAGCACCGCUUCAAUGGCCUUCAACGUACUAGUCCAUUUCUCCAGCACCUUUUUGUCGACCAUAAGGCGUCCGAAGUACUCAGUGAUCUCUUGAUCCGCCAACUUCUCAAGCAGCACCUGGAGGAAUGCACCAAGAACAGCCUCCCCCAUUGUUUCUUUUUUGAAUAAUCGAUGGUAUUGAAAACUGCAGAAAGUGAAGCUAGUAGUUAAUUAAGGUACAAUUCUAGGUGAUGCAUGCGUGCUAGAAAAUAAUUUAAACAAUGAAAUGGGUGAUUAAAUUUGAUUUGUUUCCCUUAAUUUGCAAGAUCGGAAAACAUGCACUUACAUGAAAAGUUGAUUAUUUCUUCUGUGAGAUGACAACUAAAACACUUGCAACGUUAAUUCUUCCACAAGGUGAGCCAAGUCUCUGAGAUCAUGAUCAUGACAGACUUUCUUGUUGCAGAUCGAUCUGAUUCCAGCUAUACUGCACAAAUUAGUAAGUGGAGCCAGUUUAAUUAGUUCAUAAUGAUAAUCCAACAUGAAUAUAACUGAUUAACAGAAUGAAAUUAGUAACGGAUUCAAGAAGAGCUUACAUGGAUCAAAGGAUAUCUGAAUCCAAAAUCAAGAAGCCCUUUCUUCUUUAGAUGAAUAAUGCAUACAGUGCAGUGUGUAUAGAUCAAGUAUGAAUGGAUAGAAGCUCCUCCGGCAAAAAGUCUAGAUAUGAAAACCACUCGCACUUUCCUAAAAGUCGAUGAAACAAAGGUGAGCCACUCAACACCCAUGAGGUUUGGUCCAGUUGGUAGCAGGCUGGUCCUGCAUGUUGGGCGAACGCUGCUGUGAUACUCCUGGUAGUAAGGAGGUCACAGGUUCGAUCAUCCGCAUGUGAAAAACAUCUUAUGGGGAGGGGUCUUACCUAAGUGCUCUCGGCCCCGGAGUGGUAGUCCCACCCGACCACCAUUUUUGUAACCAAAAAAAAAAAAGGUGAGCCACUCAACAGGAAUGACGGGAAAAGGCGAUGGAACACAAAGGUGCCUGUUUACACCGAAAAGGCGAUGGUAAAAGUGUGUGUUCUACUGUAACUGUUGACACUUACUGUAUGUGUGCAUCUAAUGUUUUCAUCUGUUAAACUGGGGACGGCUAUGUUUAGUGAGACUAAUAUUGCUUAGUAAAUGAUUUUUGGAAGGUGUUCCAAUUGAUCAACGAAGAUGCGUUUUUGGCAACAAAAUGUACUAGAUGAAGUGCCCGCGGCUUGCCGCGGUAUUUAGCUCUUUGUAUCUACUCGAAAGAUUGAUGUUUCUCCUCAUCACUUCACUGUGAACGCUGAUAUACAUAAUAUAGCAAAUGAUCGUCUCAGGUUAAGGAAUUGAGUCAGGUUAAGGAAUGAAGCAACAGAUUCGGAAAGCAAAUGUAAAGAAAGAUUCAAACCCAUAACAUAAAGAAAGAUUCAAAUUACUCAGUUUCAAAUUUUCAAUAUUAUGUUUACAAUUACACCCAUAAUUGUUCAUAGCCCUCUGUCUUAUCAUCUCCAUCAUAGCAGCACCUCAACUUGAUUAAGAUUUUGUUGCAGCCUCCUCAAAUGUUCUUCUGCACAUACCUAUGAGAGAACAUGUAGGCAGCAUUAGAAUUUGUUAUAUAAUCCUUGAAAAGGGAGGAGAGAUUCGCAAGAAAAAGUAACUUUCUCAUUAAAAAUAACUUCAUAUUUAAUUAGUUGUACGUGCAAAAAUCCAAGUUCCACAGUUCUAGACAUGAUAAAAGUGUAAUGUAACCUCUUGGUCCUUCAUUAGUUCACAGUUCUCAAACUCGAAUCAAAUAUUACAUUAUUCGAAUCCUCCAUUAGUUAGAACCAAUUGACUUUCAAAUCUAAAUCAUAAUCUAAUUGAAACAGAACAUACUGCAGACAAAAGCUUAGAUAAUAUGAUUCAAUAAUUGUAGUUAAGAUCUCCUUUUAAUUUCUUCUGCUUAUCUUAGUGUGAGUAUUUUUCUUGCAGAACUUCUUUUUGGCCUAAAGAAAAUUGCUUAUUAACUUGAAAUGCACUAAAAGAACACUGGAAUAAAAGUCAAAAAGGUCCUUACAGAUAUUACUGUGAGCAGCUUCAAUUAAAUAGCACAUGAUGUCUAGCUAUCUUCCCAGCGAUCUGCAGGCGUGAUAUAAUUACGUUGUUCAAAUUAGACUAAAUCAUUAUUCAAACUCCAUAGUAAUAACUCAAAACAUGAAAAAUAGCACUAAAACCAUGUAAUUAUAACAUGACCGUUUUAUUUUCGUUCUGAAGUGAUGGCGACUUCAUCAUUUGUUAAAGCUCCCUGCAUAUUCUUCAAAACAUCAAAAUAAGAAUGAAGUGGGCAAUAAUAGAAAGUAUUAAACUUAAGAGCAACAAAGUAGAUACAUUAAAGGACACAACAUAGAUGUUCGUCUGUCACUGAUAUAAUGGUUGAAUAUUUAGCAUGGUCUAUUCCCUCAACCCAGUUGAGAGGCAUAUAUAAUAGACAUCAAGGCAAUAAGCAAUCAUAUCUAUCAUACAGAAAAUUAGAAAAUUUCUAGCUGAUAUAUAGUGCAGAAAACCAGGGCAUUAAGAAAUAGGAGAUAAAAAAUUCAACCAGCAGAAUUAACUGGCACCAUAACAUAGGAUUGUAGACAGUGUCAAAAAAUCAUAUUCUCGGUAACUUCUGGGAAUGUCAACAAUCUUCAACAAAGAAUUGUUAGUGUUGAAGCAUGAGAUACUGCCAAACAUGUGAAGCUAUAUUUGACAUUGAGACAAUAAACUAUAACAAAGUAGACAAAUUUUGUAACACCAAGAGCUUCAGUCCUUAUGUGUCAUUAGUAGAUUUCAGUGCAACUGCAACGAAGACGGCAUACAAAAAUAAAAUUUUGCUUAAAUGAGAGAAGGGCACUUCAGGUACUGCAUCCAAGAGUAAGGAUCUCAGAUAAUCAUACAUCAUCUAAUGCCUUACCCUUGACUUUUCAGGAUAUAUCAAGAACACAUCCAUCUAAUACAAUCAAGUAUGAAUGCUAAAGGGGCACUAAGCUUUAAGUGCUGACCUGAAAUUUUUGAAAAUGAUCGGCAAGCUUUUGGAGCAAAGAAAUCAAUCCAAAACAAACCUGGAUCCAAAAGUUCCUGCACCCCUGCUUAAAAAUUAAAAAAAAAAAAAAAAAAGCAAACACAUCGUAGAAUCCAUUAUAAAGAAUACACCAUAAAAACUAUCUCUACCUAAUCAAAAUACCUCCAAAACAACGACUUAAACCCGAAUAAACUACCAAUAAACAAAUCUCAAAUAGCAGAAACACACCAAGGACAGUAAAAAGAUGUAUCCCUGAAUGAAAUCAAAUCAAAUCAGCAACAGAUACCUUAACUUACAAGAAAAAAAAAAAAAAAAAGUUACUUUAAACUGAUAUCUGCAUAUCCAAAAGUUCAUGUCUCAACCAUCUUUGAACAACCUGCAACAAAAACUAAUCACAAUUACUACAUGGUAGUAAUAACAAUAUAGAGGAAAUUGCUAGAUUAAUCUGAACGGACAUAUACGGUUAAAGAAAUUACCACCAAACAGAAAAGAGAAUCAAAACCAAACAACCCACAAUUAUUAUCCAAAAGGACAUCCGAAAUAUUCAUCAACUGUUCAUGAACAAUGUAGAUCCUCUGAAAAGAGGAAUUUGUACGGCAGUCAUGGGCUCUUGGAGGAUAUCCAUUUCCAUCUACCUCUGAAAGAACAUACGGCCAGAGACCAGCAAAUAUCAAGGCCCAACCCCAAAGGCCCAACACCAAGGGUAUCACUGUUUGCAUUCCGAACAGUAAGGCGACGCCAGGCCGCAUAAUAUUUAGUUAAAUUUGGACCACCGUUUUUUGGUGAAUUUGAAUAAUUAUUCGAAAAUUUGGCGUACAAAUUUGACGCUCUACAAUAUAUGCAGGUUGAGCACAGGGCUCAAAAACAGGCACAACAUUGGAAUGCCACCUCUAUGGAGAGCCAAGAGAGUUUUACAUAUACAUUUGUACCUAAAUGAGAGCUGGAGAUUGGUUGCAUAACCAACUAGCACAUGUAGCAGACAAACAAGAAGUUUCUCAUACAUACGUUGAAGAUAGAUAAGCCCUGACAGGAAAGGAUCAUUCACCAUGGUAAAGUAAAACAUCUGAACCAAAAGAGAAAAGUUCGACAAAAUCAGAACAAGUUAUACUUGAUAUGAUAGCAAAGAAGCGACUUGUGUUCAAUGCAAAGCUACAAUUGAAAUGAGCAUGGAAACAUGGAAAGAAAACAGUAGAAAGGGCCAUUUAGUGAAGGGAUUGGAGAUGUACCAGCAUCACUUGUUUUGUUUAGUAACGGUCCUUUGAACAGUUGAAACUCCAUCCACAAACUUUGUCCGGAAAAGGACAUUAGCAUUAUUGAACAUGCCUUCUUUCAGUGAAACCACAAUGAACGGAAAAAAAUGUGAUAAACAAGAAAAAUGGGUAAGUAGAUGUCGCAUAUUGUCUUUAUAAGUUAUGUCGCAAUAUGCUCUUUUGUAGAAUGAGGUUUGAAUUACAAACUCCAGAAUACCAGACUCUACAAACAGCCAAGGGACGAUGAUCAGUCAAAGAGCAGUGGAUAUGCCGAAUCACAACUAUGCCUAAAACGUUUUCUGAACUUUUUGAGAUUUGUACUUUCGAAGAAAUCAGAUAGUAUUACUUAUUUACUUGCACAAUGACGGAAAAGAAGUUGCAUCUUAGCUAAACCUAACUUUAUGGAUUAAUGGAGGAGAAGAUGGUACAUGUCAGAAGAAGAUCCAGCUAGGUAAAAUGUAGCUAGUGACAAGAAUUGCAGCUAGUAAUACUGAAAGGAGGAAGUCUCAAUGGGUUGUGAAGGUUGACAAAUGCACAGGUGAAGAGCAUGUUUUCAGGAUCAGGUUUCCACAAGGGAAAGGGAUUCAAGCAUAGGCUUAGUUUGAGUACUUGGUUCUGUCUUGGAGAAGACUUGAUUUUGCUUUCUGAUCAUAAGAAAUUUAUAGUAUUAGAUAUAAGUAGUAGUUUAUGGAUCUUAUGAUUCAGAUCAUGGAACUUAAUUGAAGUGUAUAUAGCAACUGAAAUGUAUAUGUAGUGGCUAAUAGUACUAUAUAUGAAGUUUAUCUUUGAUUGAAUUUGGUUUCAGAAUUGCCUAUAGAACAUGCGUCAGAAAUGAACUAAAAUGUAGAUAUUAGCUGAAGCUUGGUUUUGGAGGGAAUUAGUUCCGAGUUACCAUACAAGUAUAUACACAUACUCGUAGUAGAGUGGAGCUUCGAAAAGAGGAAGAACUGGUUACUGCUCACUUGUUUCUUCCAUCAAGACACAAAUUGUUGAAAUGAAUUUAGCUUUAUUCAUCAUUAACAACCAAGUCAUUAAUAAAAGUAAAGAGAGUUCGAAGAGACCGAUUUAAUCAACAAGGAAAAGAUCGAAACUAGUUUCUCAGAAAAAACAUGCAUGAAACUAUUAAAUGUACACAUCCCGAAACAACCUAAAUAGUAACAGCUGACGAAUUUUAUUACAAACCACAUGUCGAUCAAAUCCCAAUUAUGGUAUCGAUAGCACUAGUUAGGAUGAACAUAUUAUUGGAUAUUUGGCUACACCCAAGUUUGGCCACUCCGAAAGUUCCUUGAG
rnacentral:lncRNA from 1 species